CGCGGCCUAUCAGCUUGUUGGUGGGGUGAUGGCCUACCAAGGCGACGACGGGUAGCCGGCCUGAGAGGGUGUCCGGCCACACUGGGACUGAGACACGGCCCAGACUCCUACGGGAGGCAGCAAUGGGGAAUAUUGCACAAUGGGCGGAAGCCUGAUGCAGCGACGCCGCGUGAGGGAUGACGGCCUUCGGGUUGUAGACCUCUUUCACCAAGGACGAAGCGGGAGUGACGGUACUUGGGGAAGAAGCACCGGCUAACUACGUGCCAGCAGCCGCGGUAAUACGUAGGGUGCGAGCGUUGUCCGGAAUUAUUGGGCGUAAAGAGCUCGUAGGCGGCUCGUUGCGUCUACCGUGAAAACUGGAGGCUUAACCUUCAGCUUGCGGUGGAUACGGGCGGGCUUGAGUUCGGUAGGGGAGACAGGAAUUCCUGGUGUAGCGGUGAAAUGCGCAGAUAUCAGGAGGAACACCGGUGGCGAAGGCAGGUCUCUGGGCCGAUACUGACGCUGAGGAGCGAAAGCGUGGGGAGCGAACAGGAUUAGAUACCCUGGUAGUCCGCGCUGUAAACGUUGGGCGCUAGGUGUGGGUGACAUCCACGUUGUCCGUGCCGUAGCUAACGCAUUAAGCGCCCCGCCUGGGGAGUACGG
rnacentral:rRNA from 1 species